rnacentral:piRNA from 1 species
UGAAAACCUAUGAAUUGUGCAAGACUUC